UACGUAGGUGGCGAGCGUUGUCCGGAAUAACUGGGCGUAAAGGGAGCGUAGGUGGUGAUUUAAGUUAAAUGUGAAAGCCCAAGGCUCAACCUUGGAAUUGCAUUUAAUACUGGAUCACUAGAGUGCAGGAGGGGUAAGCGGAAUUCCUAGUGUAGCGGUGGAAUGCGUAGAUAUUAGGAGGAACACCAGAGGCGAAGGCGGCUUACUGGACUGUAACUGACACUGAGGCUCGAAAGCGUGGGGAGCAAACAGG
rnacentral:rRNA from 1 species